CCUACGGGGGACAGCAGUGAGGAAUAUUGGUCAAUGGCCGGAAGGCUGAACCAGCCAUGCCGCGUGAAGGUCAGUGCCCUAUGGGCGUUAAACUUCUUUUGUGCGGGAGCAAUAAUGGUCACGUGUGGCCAGACGAGAGUACCGUACGAAUAAGCAUCGGCUAACUCCGUGCCAGCAGCCGGGGUAAUACGGGGGAUGCAAGCGUUAUCCGGAUUUAUUGGGUUUAAAGGGUGCGUAGGCUGUGAGGUAAGUCAGCGGUGAAAUGCCCCCGCUCAACGGGGUGAAGUGCCAUUGAUACUGCCUGGCUGGAAUGCGGAUGCCGUGGGAGGAAUGUGUGGUGUAGCGGUGAAAUGCAUAGAUAUCACACAGAACACCGAUUGCGAAGGCAUCUCACGAAUCCGCGAUUGACGCUGAUGCACGAAAGCGUGGGUAUCAAACAGGAUUAGAUACCCGGGUAGUC
rnacentral:rRNA from 1 species